AUGACAGCCUAUUCAGUGGAGCAGUAUAUGGCUGACUACUGCAGAAAUGUUGGCAACACUAAGAAGCUGGGCUGUUGUUGUUACCCAAGGAAGAAGGAGCUCAAUCCAAAAUUCAGCAGAGAUUGGAGCCACUUCCUCGUUGUUUUAUCCUGGACAUCCAACACUUCCAAUGCCUCCCUUCUGAAGGUCGUCCAUCUUUGGAUCUAGGUGACCAAAUGCUAGCUUACAUGUCAGCUGUUCCUACCUAGCAAUGGCUAGUUCAUUUUCUAUAAAGCUGAAUUAAACUGUUUGUGAUAGUUUUAGGACAAAGGAAGGUUACAAGAGGAACAACUGGCAAGAGGAGAAGAG
rnacentral:lncRNA from 1 species